UAAGUUCCUUUUUAUAAUAUAUCGCCAUCAUGUCGCAUGUCUGUGUAAGCCAUUCAAAUAUUAUAUUUAUACACAGUGUAAAUUUUGGUUAUUACCAAAAUUUUGCAUUGUUCUUAUUAUGGAGUGAAUAAAUGUGGUAGGUAUGUAUACUUUUUUAAGUUCGUUGUAACAAAUCAAAUAAACAUAAACCAUAUACCAACCAAUAAAAUAACAGAAUUAAAGUCCUGAGAGUUGAAUACGUAACUAUUUUUAUUGAUUACCUCCGAAAUAUUGCCGAUAAAAAUAUAUAUUAAAUAGUUUUAUAGUAACAAUCUCUCGUCUGCACUAGGCCUUAAUUGCGACGAUUACAAUCAAUAUAAAAAGUUACGUGAUCAAAUACAGAUGUAAACAGAAAAAACGACAUUAAUACUGUAACCUUAACCUCUAAAUAACAAUCCUCCACAGUACAUUGUUCACUAAUCAAAAUUUAACUAACCACUUAAUUUAAUAAUGAAUAAUGUAAGAUUAAUUCAUUUUCUCUAUGGUAUAUUUACGUUAACCGAAAACAUUGUUCUUUAAGACUGGCCGCACAUUGGUACUAUCACCACAAAAUACUCAAAAUAUACUUUGUCGUAAGGGGCGCGUUGUCGUAAGUAUAUUUCUCAGGUCAUGUAACCAAGUGAGCCCGAUCUGCUAUCUAAUGUUAGAUAGACUUCUAUUAUAUUAGACGCUAGAUCUCCAGGAAAGUGCCCUUGAAAUCUUCCAGCUUUUUUAAUUUUUAUUUGGGAACAACAACUUACAUUAAAGAAAUUAUUAUUUAAUCGUUUAUUAAACUGACAUACCACUUUCUUAUAGAAUAAAAUAGUAACCAAUGUGCGGUCAGCCUGUAAGAUAAAUUAAGUUCAUUUACUUAUACAUUUCAAAUAACUAUGUACAUACAAUAAAGGUAUUACAAAGGAAAUAUUCGAUAUAUAUACAUUUUGUUCAUACAAUACCUAGGUAUUUCAUUGAAAACAUUCUGUAUAAUAUUAUAAAUUACAAAAUAUAAUCAAGGGUGUUUAGAUCCAUUUCACUCGUGACAUUAUUGUGUUUCGACUCUCAAAUUAUAUCAACGUUGGUGAAAUGUAAAUUCUCAUACAGUCACUGAACUAUAAGUUAAAUAUUUAUUAAAACUAACUGUAUAUCCUUUUCGCAUAAGAACAUCCAAAUGAAUUUAUUUUUGUCCUAUAAAAAUCCCAGCUUAUUUCAAUAGGACUUAGUUUUAGCUUACAUACAAGAGUCCUAUAUUAAUAAUUGUUAUUACAUAUUUGAUGUUCUUUUUGGAAUGGUCUUCAAUAGAAAUAUAAACAAACCAUUUUGCAAUAAAUAGUAAUAAAUACACCUAAAUUGCACUAGCUAAACAUAUUGUUUAUUAUUAUUAAUCUUAACAUUAUUAUAUCUUUACAGAUAGGUAGUUUGUAGUGUUUAUAUGAUAUAUCCGUAAAAUAAUUAUUAUUUAAUCCUCCCGCAUAAUUGUGUGAUCUUAAGCAUACAUAAAUGCAUUACUUUUGAAAAGUGUAAAAUCAUACUGAACAUACAUUUAACAAAUUU